CACCCCUCCCUUUUCGACCCGUGCGCUUCUCACCACUGCGUGUCACACAGUGAUGUGUGUGUUGUUGAAUCUAAAGUUUUGCAACAUCAAAAGUUUAUUUAAAGGCAAUCACUAAUUAUAUAUAUAUAUAUAUAUAUAUAUAUGUAUGUAUUAGAUGUAGCUGGUUAAACUUAAAGGCCGAUAUUUUCUAUCGAACUAGUCUAUUUUCUGUUCAGACACAAAGUUUUCUGAUGCUGAUAUUAUGUCAGUGUGUGUUUGUGUGGGGGUCGUGUGCUGUAAUCUUUGAAAGUUUAUGACCGAACCUUUAUUGGGGAGCGACAAGAGAUCUCCCGGACUCAGUUUGGAUGGAGCAGAGCUGUUAUACUCAAGUCUAUUGCGAAAUUGUCUAAACUGGUAUUAACUAUUCCUGGUAAAUCGCGGACAAGAGUGGCCUGAACAAAAAAGUCAGCCCGAGACUAGAACCUCCCGCAGCGUAACAAGGAAAUCUUGGAGCAAAGAGACGCCGAGUGGCUCGUGUUGUGCGGUUUGGAUAUCUGCUGCAAAGCGAACGUUGUGUGUACUAUUGCAAAAUAGCGGAUCUCCCCGGUUAGGAUACAGACCACAACGCUUUGGACGUAUCUUUAAAAAAGAGAAAAAUCAGAGACUUUUUGGAUUUGUCUGGGGACAUUUUAAACAUUUUGUGUCAAAUUGGAUUUAAAACAUUUCGGAUACUGGAUACCUAGUUUGAUUUGUCCACAGAUCUUGUUUAAGACGUUUUCACCUCAUUUUAGGGUUUAUUUUUAAUUAAAGGCUUCUUAAAACAUGUAUGAAAAUGUGUAUAUUAUACAAUGAGUCUUAUAUUGUCUGCUCUGACAAAAAUAAAUUAUUAUUUUAGAUCUUA